rnacentral:rRNA from 1 species
UACGGGGGGGGCAAGCGUUGUUCGGAAUUACUGGGCGUAAAGGGCUCGUAGGCGGCCAACUAAGUCAGACGUGAAAUCCCUCGGCUUAACCGGGGAACUGCGUCUGAUACUGGAUGGCUUGAGAUUGGGAGAGGGAUGCGGAAUUCCAGGUGUAGCGGUGAAAUGCGUAGAUAUCGUAAGGAAGACCAGUGGCGAAGGCGGGUCUCUGGACAGUUCCUGACACUGAGGCACGAAGGCCAGGGGAGCAAACGGG